GGCCGCCUGGCGAAAUGGCAUCGCGUCUGACUACGACUUGUGGCUGUAAUCAGGAGAUUGCAGGUUCGACCCCUGCGGUGGUCA